rnacentral:rRNA from 1 species
UACAGCGGUCUCACGCGUUGUUCGGAUUCAUUGGGCGUAAAGGGUGCGUAGGCGGCGCGGUAAGUCGGGUGUGAAAUCUCGGGGCUUAACUCCGAAACUGCAUUCGAUACUGCCGUGCUUGAGGACUGGAGAGGAGACUGGAAUUUACGGUGUAGCGGUGAAAUGCGUAGAUAUCGUAAGGAAGACCAGUGGCGAAGGCGGGUCUCUGGACAGUUCCUGACGCUGAGGCACGAAGGCCAGGGGAGCAAACGGG